AGAGCGAACGCUGGCGGCAGGCCUAACACAUGCAAGUCGAGCGGCCGUAGCAAUACGGCAGCGGCAGACGGGAUAGUAACACGUGGGAACGCGCCCUUCGGUUCGGAAUAACUCAGGGAAACUUGAGCUAAUACCGGAUACGCCCUUACGGGGAAAGAUUUAUUGCCGAAGGAACGGCCCGCGUCCGAUUAGCUAGUUGGUGAGGUAAUGGCUCACCAAGGCUACGAUCGGUAGCUGGUCUGAGAGGAUGACCAGCAUCACUGGGACUGAGACACGGCCCAGACUCCUACGGGAGGCAGCAGUGGGGAAUAUUGGACAAUGGGCGCAAGCCUGAUCCAGCCAUGCCGCGUGGAUGAUGACGGCCUUAGGGUUGUAAAGUCCUUUUAACGGGGAAGAUAAUGACGGUACCCGUAGAAUAAGCCCGGCUAACUUCGACGCCAGCAGCCGC
rnacentral:rRNA from 1 species